CAGCAGCCGCCGCGGUAAUACGAAGGGGGCUAGCGUUGUUCGGAAUUACUGGGCGUAAAGCGCACGUAGGCGGAUAUUUAAGUCAGGGGUGAAAUCCCGCAGCUCAACUGCGGAACUGCCUUUGAUACUGGGUAUCUUGAGUAUGGAAGAGGUGAGUGGAAUUCCGAGUGUAGAGGUGAAAUUCGUAGAUAUUCGGAGGAACACCAGUGGCGAAGGCGGCUCACUGGUCCAUUACUGACGCUGAGGUGCGAAAGCGUGGGGAGCAAACAGGAUUAGAUACCCCCGUAGUCCCUGUCUCUUAUAC
rnacentral:rRNA from 1 species